rnacentral:misc_RNA from 1 species
GUCCAGAUCUCCAGAAAAAUGUAUGCUUUCUUGUAAUGGAAAAAACUACAUUACAAUUAUUGAUGUUUUCUUUGGCAUUGCAUAAAAUUUGUUCUGUGUAGUGUAGUUCAUGUGGACCUUAUGUUUAUUUAGACAUACAACAUUUUUGCUAAUUAUUUUGGUGAGGUUUUGAAUCUGUGGAACGGCUUAAUAACUGCACCCUUUGGCCCUGCAUUUACCAAGUGCACUGCCAAUAUGGUUUGGUUGUCAUUUCUUGUUUUGCAAGAUCACAUUCACUGUUCAGCACCAUGUUAAAUUUGUGCUUGAUUUGGGAUCUGAUUAUAAGCACAUGGAUGCUCAAAUGGGGUAGCAUAUCACAUGAAUUUUUUAAUCAGUUAGAUGAUAUUGCCUUGGCUAUCUGCUUCGAUGGGUUGCCAUUCUUUUGGUAAGAUGAUAUACGGAGAUCUUCUUGUGGAAACUCACUGCAAGGCGAUUAUGAAUAUAUGGUCAUGAUACCAGGAAUCAUUUUUGAGAGAUAGGAAAUGAUAUAAGUUAGCAUAUCUAAUAAAUGAUUUUUUAUAUAGUUGUGAUACUUUUUUGUGGCAACAAUGGAUAUCCUGUGGUUGAGACUGGAAAUCACGUUGCAAGUAUUCCUGGUUAUAUAAGUCUUGUAUCAUGAACUGUUCCUUUAGUUUGCUGUUUGUAUAUUUCCUUUUGUUUGAAUGAAAAUAAUUUAGGCAAUGGUCUCCCAUCAACUUAGCUGCACUUCUUGUUAAUGCCCUUGAAGAAAUUUGGGAGGUAGAAAGACAGGAAUAGCUAUAGAGAUAUGAUGUGCAGGAAUUUUUAAGGAUUAUCUUUGCUCGCCCAGUUACUUUUGAAUGAAAUAGUUUCUAUUAUGUCUUUACAGUAGCGGGGCGAGCAA